UACGUAGGGGGCUAGCGUUGUCCGGAAUCAUUGGGCGUAAAGCGCGUGUAGGCGGUCCGGUAAGUCCGCUGUGAAAGUCGGGGGCUCAACCCUCGGAUGCCGGUGGAUACUGUCGGGCUUGAGUACGGAAGAGGCGAGUGGAAUUCCUGGUGUAGCGGUGAAAUGCGCAGAUAUCAGGAGGAACACCAAUGCGAAGGCAGCUCGCUGGGACGUUACUGACGCUGAGACGCGAAAGCGUGGGGGAGCAAACAGG
rnacentral:rRNA from 1 species